GCGAACGCUGGCGGCAGGCCUAACACAUGCAAGUCGAACGAACCUUUCGGGGUUAGUGGCGGACGGGUGAGUAACGCGUGGGAACGUGCCUUUAGGUUCGGAAUAACUCAGGGAAACUUGUGCUAAUACCGAAUGUGCCCUUCGGGGGAAAGAUUAAUCGCCUUUAGAGCGGCCCGCGUCUGAUUAGCUAGUUGGUUGAGGUAAUGGCUCACCAAGGCGACGAUCAGUAGCUGGUCUGAGAGGAUGAUCAGCCACAUUGGGACUGAGACACGGCCCAAACUCCUACGGGAGGCAGCAGUGGGGAAUCUUGCGCAAUGGGCGAAAGCCUGACGCAGCCAUGCCGCGUGAAUGAUGAAGGUCUUAGGAUUGUAAAAUUCUUUCACCGGGGACGAUAAUGACGGUACCCGGAGAAGAAGCCCCGGCUAACUUCGUG
rnacentral:rRNA from 1 species